UAAUAAUUCAAUUAUAUACAGAUCAAGAUAGAAUGAAAAGUGCAAAAUACAAAUAUUACACUGUUGUCUUGUAAAAGAAAAUUAAAACUCAACCAUUAAGAGUAUCCUUAUUUUUCUUUUUUACAACUUUUAGACAUGUGUUAUCUUUACCUAUCAACAAUUUAGGGAUUAAAUUUUAAUAUCUUUUUUAUUUAACUCAAAUUUAAAUUGUGUAUGCUUUAUUUUUCGAACAUUGAUUUUUUGUUUAUUUUUGGAUUAACUUAAGAACAAAUUGCAGUUAGAUUAUCAAGAUUUCUUAAACAUUCAUAUAUUGUAUUCAGUAUUUACUUUUAAUUAUUAACAAUAUUAUUUACAUUAAUUGAAUACACAUAUUAAUAUUCUCAAACAAUAAUGAAUAAUAUUUUUUCUUUAAUUAUUUAUUGUAUUAUUUUUUCUACUAGUAGUUACAUAUAUAUAUCAAGAAAAUAAGAUUUGAGUUGGGUUGAGUACUUAGUGAUACGUAAAUAAAAAAAUUCAAAAAUUAAAGUACUGAAGGGAAUGAGUCAUUUAUUUAGUUGUGUUUCCAAUAUAAGCAAAGUCCUAAAUUUUAAUAUGUUUAUUUAAUCAUUUUAAAAACACAUUUUAAGUUGCUAAUUAAUAUACUAAAUAAGAUGUAAAAUAAGUUUCAAUAGUAAUUACACUAAAGUGUUAUACUACACUGUCAAUCUUGAUCGUUCCAUGUAUUCAUACUACCACAUAUAGCCUAGGUGAUUCAUGAUCAAACCAAUCCUCAUCAUCAUGCUCAUCCUCCUUCGGGUCAACGUGAUUCAACACUUGAUCAUCAUUAUCAACACUUGUCGAUGAAGAUGGUGGGUGAUGUACUUCAGGAUCAGCCUGAGCGGGGAGAGAGGCGGUAACAGGCGUUAAACGAUUAAGUACUUUUUCCCAUGCUUGAGCGAUACGUAGAUCAAGCAAAACGUUGUUAGGGAUCAUUAUCCUGUUGUCCAGAGUCAAGGUGAUAGAGACAUGACGACGGUGACGAGGGCGGUGUACGUGAAGGAGAGUACUGACGAGGGUGAGGGGCAACGAGACCAUGUUGACCAUUCUGUGGAAGCUUACCGCCAUCUUUAACUGGGACAUGUUAGGAAGGUUGGGGUUGCUCCAGUACAUGUUAACCAAGGGGAAGGGGAUCAGUUCGCCUGAAAACAUGGAGGUAAUGAGUGUGUUGAUGGAUGGUGAGGUCUCUUGGAAUAGGUGAUCAAUUUGGUAUUGGAAUUGGUGAGUGGAGUUGUAUGAGAUGAAGGUGUCGCUAUGAUCGGUAUCUGAAUAGUACAUUUGGAUCACUUUCAACUCCACCCUCAUUAAUGGUGAUGAUGGUGGAUCAUUUUCUUCAAAACCACUAUUAAAUCUUGGGUAAAUAAAAACUUGGGAGAAUGGUUGAUUAUCCAUAUUUACUAUGAGUACGUGUGUGUUAUCUCUUAAUAUAAAUUUCUUAAUUAGAUAGCUGGUACAUAUAUAGGGCAAUAUUAAUUCUAAUUUCAUUAGGAAUAUGAUUAUUCCAAUUCUAUAUUAUAAUCGGGAUACUUUUGAUUAAAAAAAAAAGAUAUUAUUUAUUUAUAUAAUAAAUCUGAUGGCUAAAAACAUUUAGGGAAAUUACCAAACUUUUCCAACCUUUAUUUUUCGUUUGAAAAAAAAAAACCUUUAUUUUCAUAAAUAUAUCUUUAUUUUAAUUUUUCUUGCUGAAUUAGUCUCCUCCUUCCACUGGAACUUGGGUGCCUUCUGCGACUUGGGCUAGAGCAAAAGAAUGUUAACCUUUUGGCCUCACUCGAUCGACCUCAACAUCAUGGCCGCCGUGGCCUGUGAACUCCCGUUUGGUUUGAAGAGGCAACAUAGCGUUGAGUACUGGAUCUGAAAUGGCUGACGCAUUUUUUGUGCCCUUCUUUUCAUCUUUGAGUUUUAAUACUCAUGGCUCCAAACUGAUCGGGUUGAUCGUCAAUUGCAGUAGUGUAGCAACAGGAACUAGAGCUGGGCUUUUUGGAACACAUAUUUCAGCUCAUGGUUUACCACCUCCCCCGGCCUUAAUUAGUUGUUCGCAAUCUUAUGGAGUAGGUAAGAAAGGAUAUUGUUUCUUUAUUUCUUCCUUCUUAGUUGCAGUUUUCCACAAUGUCCUCUGUUGUAUUUUUUCUUAACUAAAUUUGUAGCAUCUUCUUCCAACUUCAAGGCCAGGUUUGCUUAUUUAUGCACAACACCGUAAUGUCUUGAAUGCACCAUCGGCAUGAUUUAUAAUACGAGAGUGAUUCUGAGUACAUAUGUCGGGCUCCUGAAACUGAAGCAUGUAAUAGCCAAAGAUAGAAUACCAAAUUUUAUUUUCAUUCAAUAGUCAAUACUUUAAUAUUUUACCCACCAUACUAAUACAAUAAUUUCCCAAUAUUUUUCCAUUCAACUAUGCCAGUUUGGAUGUACAAAUUCCUUCCCCAAUUUUUCUAACAAAUCAUUCCCCUAUUUGCAAGUUUUUUUCCAUGGUGAUGAAACACUUCAUCUUGGAGCUCAAUAGAUUUUCUCAGCAAUCCCGAGACUAAUUACAAUCUCUGCUUUAUCACACAUUGGCCGAUCAACCAUCCUCCUAACAUGGUCUAAGCAGUUGACUUAAAAAAAAAAAAGAAAUCACUUCUCAUUCUACGAGUGCCCCUCUCCUUAAUCCCUGCACAAUUGAUAAACAAUCAGUAAAAAAAAUGAUAUUAGUAUAGCCACAUGCAUGAGUAAAAAUAGGUGCAUGAGAGCUUCAGCUUCUAAAGGGCUCAACUCAUGGAAUUGCACAAGAAAGCCUCCAUAACAUUCCCCUGUUGAAAAUCAGAAUAGCUCCCAAUCUUAGAAGCAAGUAAUCAUUCAAUUAAAACAAAAUUACUAUCUCAAAGUAACAUCCUGCAGUCUUAACAGUAAGAACAAAAAAACAUGUGGGAAAAGUGAUGAGGUGAGACCACCAAUUUCAAGUCGCUCUACUAAUGAAAACAUACAUGUUUCUAAAUCCAAGUCUCUCCAUAUUCCAUCCAAAAACACAAGAAGAGGGAGAGAUAAGUUAAGGAUAUAUCAUUCCAAAAAUAAUGCUAUGAAUAUCCCCUAUAGUCUAUUUCCAAGGAGCACCAUAACAAAAGUUGUUAAUGGAAUGAUCUGAGGUAAAAUAGCAAAAUGUCACUAAACAAUUUUGAGAGAACGGGUCGGAGGGCUAAGCUUCGGCAGCUUUGGGAUGCUUGCGACGGAGGCUCGACUGGGGCAGCUCGGAACACGGGAUACGCUAAUUAUGGAGGCAAAAUAGAGGCUCGAUUGUUGUCUCCAGAGCUCUAUUUUUUUUUUUUAUUUUAACAAAAAGUAAAUGCGGUUAGAUUUUUAUAUUAGCGUAUAUUUAAAAAUAAAUUAAAUUAUAAAUAAAAAAUGAAAAAUAUGCAUAAUUAAUUACGCAUAUUUAAAUAAAAAAUUAUGCAUAUUAAAUUUAUAUAGGUAAUUAAGUUUUUUAAUUUGGACCGUUUGUAUGUAUUUUAUUUAUUUUUUUUAAUAGUAAAGUUAAUAUUGGUAGUGCA